rnacentral:rRNA from 1 species
UAACACGUGGACAAUCUGACCCCCCGGCCCGGGAUAGCCCAGGGAAACCUGGAUUAAUACCGGAUGAGACGGGACCCGCGAUGGCGGGAUCCGGGAAAGGCGCUGCGGCGCCGCCGGGGGAUGAGUCUGCGUCCCAUUAGCUAGACGGCGGGGUAACGGCCCACCGUGGCGACGAUGGGUAGCCGGCCUGAGAGGGUGACGGCCACAUUGGAACUGAGACACGGUCCAGACUCCUACGGGAGGCAGCAGCUAAGAAUCUUCCGCAAUGGGCGAAAGCCUGACGGAGCGGAACCGCCGCGUGAACGAAGAAGGCCGUGAGGUUGUAAAGUUCUUUUCGGGAGGGGGAACAACCGUGGCAGGGAAUGGCCGCGGGAUGACGUGAAUCCCGGAAUAAGCCCCGGCUAACUACGUGCCAGCCGCCGC